GUGCACCAGUCGAGAAUUUUUCUCAAUGGGGGAAACCCUGAAGGAGCGACGCCGCGUGGAGGAUGAAGGUCUUCGGAUUGUAAACUCCUGUCAUUAGGGAACAAAUCUUCCAAGUAACUACUGGAAGUCUGAUAGUACCUGAAGAGGAAGAGACGGCUAACACUGUGCCAGCAGCCGCGGUAAUACAGAGGUCUCAACCGUUGUUCGGAUUCAUUGGGCGUAAAGGGUGCGUAGGCGGCGGAGUAAGUCAGGUGUGAAAUCUCGGGGCUCAACCCCGAAACUGCACUUGAUACUGCUUCGCUUGAGUAUUGGAGAGGAGAUUGGAAUUUACGGUGUAGCAGUGAAAUGCGUAGAUAUCGUAAGGAAGACCAGUGGCGAAGGCGAAUCUCUGGACAAUUACUGACGCUGAGGCACGAAGGCCAGGGGAGCAAACGGGAUUAGAUACCCCGGUAGU
rnacentral:rRNA from 1 species